UACAGAGGUCUCAAGCGUUGUUCGGAUUCAUUGGGCGUAAAGGGUGCGUAGGCGGCGGGGUAAGUCUGGUGUGAAAUCUCGGAGCUCAACUCCGAAAUUGCACUGGAUACUGCUCUGCUAGAGGGCUGGAGAGGAGAUCGGAAUUCACGGUGUAGCAGUGAAAUGCGCAGAUAUCGGGAAGAACACCCGUGGCGAAGGCGGUUCUCUGGGACGGUACUGACGCUGAGGCACGAAGGCCAGGGGAGCAAACGGG
rnacentral:rRNA from 1 species